rnacentral:misc_RNA from 1 species
UCGCAGUGAUAUGAUUUCACUCCUUGAUUUUGUCAAUUCCCCUUCAAGAGAUCUCAAUCGUUCAGUAGCCUUUUCUUGGGCCACUUUGGCAGAUUCCUGAGAGCCUUCAAGCAGAAGUAAGAGGUCUUUCCUUCCAUCAUCUGCCACUGGAGGAGCAUCUGAAGAGCGGGAAUAAGAUGAAUGAAGUUUAUGUUCUUCUUCAUAUAGCCUUUUGUACAUAGCAACAGAAGUAUGAAGAGAUUCAAUCAUUUGCACUUGCUCUUCAGCCCUUUGCAACACCACAGCCACUUUGCAGGCAGCUUCAUCAGUGUGUUUUUUGAGCUCCAUUUCAAACUUUUCCUUGAACUCCAUCUCCUUAUUUUCAAUCUGGUCAGAAAGGUCGCGCACGAGGCUUCUAAGCUGAACAUUCUGCUCAACUAAUCCAUUUAUAUCAUUGAAGGUCAAAAGCCGUUCUGAAAUUACUUUUUCAGCAUCAGACUCCACAUCCAUCCCAACAGCAACAAUUGUGUUACUGUCGUCAGCCUCAUCAUGCCCACUAGAUCCGCAACAAAGUUGUAUAUCACGACACUCCUUAAGAAGGAC